GCUUGUCUCAAAGAUUAAGCCAUGCAUGUCUAAGUACAAGCCGCUAGUUCGGCGAAACCGCGAAUGGCUCAAUAAAUCAGUUAUGGUUCCUUAGAUCCACUCCAUCCUACUUGGAUAACUGUGGUAAUUCUAGAGCUAAUACAUGCGUAAAAUCCCGACUCUCGCGGGGAGGGAUGUAUUUAUUAGAUAAAAAACCAAUGCGGGGCAACCCGGUUUUGUGGUGAAUCAUAGUAACUUUUCGGAUCGCAUAGCUUCACGCUGGCGAUAGUUCAUUCAAAUUUCUGCCCUAUCAGCUUUCGACGGUAGUGUAGUGGACUACCGUGGCGUUAACGGGUGACGGAGAAUUAGGGUUCGAUUCCGGAGAGGGAGCCUGAGAAACGGCUACCACAUCCAAGGAAGGCAGCAGG
rnacentral:rRNA from 1 species